UCCCUGGUGGUCCAGUGACUAAGACUCCAUGCUCCAAAUGCAAGGGGGCCCAGGUUCAAUCCCUGGUCAGGGAA
rnacentral:tRNA from 1 species